rnacentral:lncRNA from 1 species
CAAUGGGGGGGUUGGAAGACUCUGACCUCUUCAAUUGAGAACACGCCCCCAGCGACGCGCAGAGCACUGAGAGACAGUCCGAUUACCGCAAAUCUCCAAACUGGUCGGUCAAAUGCAUCUCGAUUCUCCUCCAGCAUUGAAGUGCCUAAUCUGAUCUCUGAAAGUGUCCAGUAAGCUAUAUCUAGCAGCUCCACCCGUCCGCGAUGCAUGGAAGGAUUGGGGUGGCGGAUCAGCA